CACCAUUGGAGGUGUAUGAGGAGCUGCAAUCACAUGAGUACCUUGUUGACUAUGAGCGUAUUCCUAUAACAGAUGAAAAGUCACCCAAAGAGAUGGAUUUUGAUAUUUUGGGUCAUAAAGUGUCUCAAGCUGAUAUAAAGAUAGAAAUAGUGUUUAAUUGCCAAAUGGGACGCGGACGGACUACAACUGGAAUGGUGAUUGCAA